UUAUGAUGAUGACGAUGACGAUGACGAUGAUGAUGAUGACUCAAUUGUCAUUACUGUUCAUCGUCAUCAUCGUCAUCAUCAUCAUUAUUA
rnacentral:pre_miRNA from 1 species